rnacentral:rRNA from 1 species
AUUGAACGCUGGCGGCAGGCCUAACACAUGCAAGUCGAGCGAUCGGCGGACGGGCGAGUAAUGUCUGGGAAACUGCCUGACGGAGGGGGAUAACUACUGGAAACGGCAGCUAAUACCGCAUACAAUCAGAUGUGCCUAGAUGGGAUUAGCUAGUAGGUGGGGUAACGGCGCACCUAGGCGACGACCCCUAGCUGGUCUGAGUGGAUGACCAGACAGAAUGGAACUGAUACACGGUCCAGACGCCUACAGGAGGCAGCAGUGGGGAAUAUUGCAAAAGUGGCGCAAGCUUGAUGCAGCCAUGCCGCUUGUGUGAAGAAGGCCUUCGGGGUGUAAAGCACUUUCAGCGGGGAGGCGUUACCCGCAGAAGAAGCACCGGCUAACUCCGGGCCAGCAGCGGCGGUAAUUC